CCCUUAGAUGUUCUGGGAUGCACGCGCGUUACACUGAUUCGUUCAACGAGUUUAUGACCUUGCCUGAUGAGGUGGGGGAAUCUUUUCAAAUCGCAUCGUGAUGGGGAUAGAGUAUUGUAACUGUUAGUCUUCAACGAGGAAUUCCUAGUAAGUACGUGUCAUCGGCUCGUACUGAUUAUGUCCCUGCCCUUUGUACACACCGCCCGUCGCUCCUACCGAUUGAGUGCUCAGGUGAAUAGUAUGGGCUGCAUCAGUGUUCGGUCUCCGAAUGUUGACGCGAGAAAUUCUGUGAAUCUUAUUGCUUAGAGGAAGGAGAAGUCGUAACA
rnacentral:rRNA from 1 species